GACGUAGGGGGCGAACGUUGUCCGGAUUCAUUGGGCGUAAAGGGUGCGUAGGCGGCGCGGUAAGUCGGGUGUGAAAUCUUGGAGCUUAACUCCGAAACUGCAUUCGAUACUGCCGUGCUUGAGGACUGGAGAGGAGACUGGAAUUUACGGUGUAGCGGUGAAAUGCGUAGAUAUCGUAAGGAAGACCAGUGGCGAAGGCGGGUCUCUGGACAGUUCCUGACGCUGAGGCACGAAGGUCAGGGGAGCAAACGGG
rnacentral:rRNA from 1 species